ACGGGAGGCAGCAGUGGGGAAUAUUGGACAAUGGGGGAAACCCUGAUCCAGCGACGCCGCGUGAGUGAAGAAGUAUUUCGGUAUGUAAAGCUCUAUCAGCAGGGAAGAUAAUGACGGUACCUGACUAAGAAGCACCGGCUAAAUACGUGCCAGCAGCCGCGGUAAUACGUAUGGUGCAAGCGUUAUCCGGAUUUACUGGGUGUAAAGGGUGCGUAGGUGGUAUGGCAAGUCAGAAGUGAAAUGCGGGGGCUCAACCCCUGAACUGCUUUUGAAACUGUCAAACUAGAGUGCAGGAGAGGCAAGCGGAAUUCCUAGUGUAGCGGUGAAAUGCGUAGAUAUUAGGAGGAACACCAGUGGCGAAGGCGGCUUGCUGGACUGUAACUGACACUGAGGCACGAAAGCGUGGGGAGCAAACAGGAUUAGAUACCCUGGUA
rnacentral:rRNA from 1 species